GGUAGAGACCGAUAGCAACCACGUGAUCAGUAAAAAUCGUGUAUUUUCACGUGAAAUUAUUUUUCGGAAUUCCGUACAUCGCCAUAGAGUAGUUGAAAAACAAAAAGGGGUUCCGAAAGUACAAGUUGUUGCUGUGACUGAAUCGAUGAUUGAGAGGGUCGUCUCGACGAAAGAUAUAGAAAUUUGGCCAUAGUUUAGAUAAGGAAUACGUCAAUGUAAUAAUAGUGGACUAAAUGUUUCGUCCGUGCAGAAUGGCACUUUUUACCUCACGAAAUUCACCACCAUGCAUAGCUGCGCUACGUAAACAAAGUUGUUGAUGUAGCGUGAUCGUGAUGUCCGAGUGCUGCGAGUUUCAAUACUGUUUAUGUAGUAAUUAAGAGUUUAAACAAAGUUUGUUCUGAGAAGAGGAAUUCGAUGGAUGCAUUCAACGUGGACAACGAAAUCAUAAUUUCGUUUGCAUCAUCCUAAGGACCAGUGCAAGUUGAAAUGGGCUUCCAGCUAACAACUUCAACAGCAAUUUGCCAUGAAAAUCAGCAAGAAAGGUACUUCAUUUACAUUGAUGAUGUCAUAUCCCCUGGACCCCACAACUUUACAGGUUACAGAGAAAAUUCAAGAACUUCUGCAAAAUGUGGGACUUGGAUAGAAUCAAUAAUGUAUUUGUGAGCCCAGAGCAAUGGAUAUAUUGUGGAACAUACUAAAGUGAAUUUAAUGGAAAACAAGUACAUGUACUCAUGUAUUACAUGUCUUUUUUAAAGACAAUAACAUUGUAUAAAUAUAGAGGAAGUGUCAUUGUUGAUUAUUCUAAGUUUUUGAUAUAUCAAAAUCAGUAAACAUUUCUAAAUGAAAAUAAAAUACCAAUUUUAUAACUUUAAUCAAUGUGUUUGAAUUUCUCAUUUUCUAACCCCACCCCACCCCCGUUACACACACUCGGUGCAUAUAUACUGUGAAUGCAAUAUGCAUGCAUUCUAAGUUAUCCAAGCAACCGGCGCGAGCCCCCUUAAAAUUUUUAAGUUUAAAGUAAAUCGUGGUCUCUUGUUUAGAGAAAUAUAUACGAUAAAAGAAGCCAUAAUUUCCUCCACUCUCAGAGAAAUAAAUGUCUGACAAAAUCUUUUGAUUUAUUGAAUUACUUUUAGUGGGAGAACUGCUACUUUUUCCAAAAACCCUUAAAAUUUGCGUUAUUUUAUUAAUUUCACCUAAUUAGAAAUGACAGAAAAUAAUAAAAAUGACUACAUAGGAGACAUAUUUUAAGCCCUAAAAAAUCUGUAAAAUCCAGGAGUUUCUGGGGGAAUCGCCCCCC